rnacentral:rRNA from 1 species
UACGGAGGGUGCAAGCGUUAUCCGGAUUUACUGGGUUUAAAGGGUGCGUAGGUGGGUCUGUAAGUCAGUGGUGAAAUCUCCGAGCUUAACUCGGAAAGGUCAACUGAUACUGCGCGGCUAGAGUGCAGAAGGGGCAACUGGAAUUCUCGGUGUAGCGGUGAAAUGCGUAGAUAUCGAGAGGAACACCUGCGGCGAAGGCGGGUUGCUGGGCUGACACUGACGCUGAUGCGCGAAAGCCAGGGGAGCGAACGGG